ensembl:lncRNA
AUGACGUUUGAUGACGUUUAUAUGAGACAUACAUAUACUGGGACACAAAUGGUUGCCCCAACACUGAAAUCUGUAACACGAAGAGACAUGAUUGGUUACCAGCAUUGUCAUUUAAAUUUUCUGUUUGAGACACAGCAAAUGAGAAUAACAGCUGCAGCCGUGACCUAGUUAUGGGGUAAAAGCCCAGACUGAGGUUAAAUAAGGCCAGCUGUAAUGAUAAUUGUGUUUUUUUGUGGGUUAAGGUUGUGUUACCCAGGUGAGGUUAAAAACUGAGGUUUCUCAUCGCCAUAGUGAAAGACCAGAAUUAAUUAUGCAACUCUGAUUUAUUUGUCAGAAUCCCAGCUAUUCUCUCAAUGUUAUAUUUUCAAAAAAUGUUUUGAAAUAAGAAAUUAUUAAAGUGCCCCUAUUAUGCCAUUUCCAAUAUUGCCUUUCAUGCAGUGUGUAAUGUAGCUGUAUUUGAAUGUAAAUGAUCAUCAAAGUUGUAAAGCUGAAAGUGCACGAUAAAUAAAGUUAUUGUAUCCCAAAAUAAAGAAUCGAUUCUCUACAGCCUAAACGAGUCGUUAGUAAUUCAAACCCCACUUCCGUGACGGCUACACGUCACGACGUAACACAUUUGCAUAAUUCCCGCAUAUAUUCUAUGUUGGCCGGCCACGAACAACUUGACCCCGCCCACAAACACAUCAUUCUAUUGACGCCUGCUUCUCUAAUCUCGGGGAGUUCAACGUGGGAUUCACUAAAUGCUUGCUGUUGAAAGAUGGAUCAUGAAACCUCAUUAUUUGGACCAGCUGCUCCACUGAAUCGAAACCUGUAAGUAUGAUAAAUAAUAGAUGUUUAAUUAUCUUUUGAGCGUUCAAAAUACAGAACUAUUGAAGUAGGCGUAUAGUUUCCGACACGUUGUACGCGGUGGACCAAUCACAACAGACUGGGCCAUCUGACCAAUCAGAGCAGAGCAGGCUCACAGAAAAGAGGGGUUUAGAGAGACUGAAUCUUUGAACUGCUUCGAACGAAUCAUUUGAGAAUCGCUGAAAAAUGAGGUGAUAUUAAAUGCAUAUUUUGAGAAAACAAAAGCGGCUUUUGACUUUGCAUGCAUGUAAUCCUAAUUUAGGAGACUCUCAAAAACAAUAUUAGGAACCGUAAAAAUGGCAUAAUGGGGCAUUUUAAGAUCCUAUUUCCAAAUAAGCAGUUUAAAUUGUAAUUGUUUUGCCCUUUUUUAGGAAACAGCAGGUAAUUCAGUUUCAUAAUUGUUUACCUAAAAUUUGUCUUUAAAAGUGAACUGAUUAUUUUUUUGUGUAACGAACAGCUUUAGAUAAAAUGGCAAAUCCUUUCCAAACAGGUUUUUUUUAAACACUCCAACAUCCUAUCAUUUGGAUAAACAAGAUGGACAGUGGUUGAUAUAUGUCAGACUACUAAAACAGUGCAACCAUAUGUUUGUAAGUGCCACGGAGACUUUAGUCUUUGCUAAGUCAACUUAUGAAUUUUUGUUUUGAUUUUAUAGUAUUUAAUACCUUGUACCUCUUUCUACUAAAGGCAAAUUAGAUGUAAAUACAUAACACAUAGAAUGCUACAGAAACAGCAUAUAAAAAGUAUAAAGAAGUGAGCCUGUGACAGACCUUUUAGUAUUAUUUGGUGGGGCUGUUACUGCAUUCAGAGAAAGUGUUAAAACAAUUGGUACUCACUCACUGAGGGAUGUCAGUUCAUCAUAUGCAUGUAAAGUGCACUGCUGUGUGGAGCAUGUUGAAUGAUGAGAGUAGUUGAGGAAAUGAACAAAUGCUCUUUGGAUCUAUACCAGUGAUAAGGUAAUUACCAGGAGUUGUUUGUAUAAGUGUUUCCUGCAAUUGAAUGCUAUAAAUGCAUGUAUAAUGAAAGGCACAUUAGUCUGAGAGUCUGUGCUAUGUCAUAUCCUAUCAUAUCAAAUCAUAUACUUUAUUUAUUUGUUUAUUUAUAGCUUGCAGUGGAAUAGAAAAUGCCUAUUGUAGACUCUUCAAAACAUUUGCAAACAAGCCUGCUUAACAUCUCAGCUCUUAUAGGGUUAGUGUGUGUAACCUUCUAGCUGUAGAUCUUAGGAACUGAUGUCUUGCAAAUUAUUUUGGGUAAGCAGUGGGAAAAGCAAUUGUCAGACAUUCUCUGAUGUCUUGUUGAGUCCUACUUUACCAGUCUUUGAGCAUUCAAUUUAUUAGGUGACUUUAUUCACAGUCUUGCUGGUGGUUGUGUGCUCAGUUUCCACUUCAUUUGAUAGGCUUGUAUUAAUUUUUACUUUAAAGGAAUGAUUUUUCUUUUUUCACUGUAAAGUACCAUCAAAGAAGUGAUGAGCUCUACAUACUCAUAUUCAUACAUGUAAAAUUUACAGAUCUACCAAUAAUAGAUCGCCCUGUUGGAAUAUACAGCCAGAAUCUAGGUUUUUGAAUGCACAUCUCUUUGCUGUCAUUUAAUAUGCAUCUGUACAUAAUUAUGUGACUUUUGAGAAAACACAUGUGCUUUUCUAACCCCAUGGCAACACACUAAGAAAGUAGUAAUUGUUGUUUACAACAAUCUGACUUGGCUAAAUAAGCUGCUGUGUAAUUGCACUAAAUUAGAGACUAAUUAAUGCAGAGAAAGGACUUCUGCAUAUACGCUAGUCUUUAAAGAUGUUACACACACACACACACUAUAUAUAUAUAUAUAUAUAUAUAUAUAUAUAUAUAUAUAUAUAUAUAUAUAUAUAUAUAUAUAUAUAUAUAUAUAUAUAUAUAUAUAUAUAUAUAUAUAUAUAUAUAU